UCCGGCUCUCCCCUCUCUCUCUUUCUCACGCACACCCCACCUCAUCCUCUCCCCUGACGGUGCCAACUCUUUCUGUCUCCCGCCGUCACAGCCUCCGCCUCGUUCUCACUUUCACCACUUCGCUGCAUCGGCGUCGGUGGCGUGGCGCUUUUCUCAGGCAGGCGGACAUACCGCAGAAUGAACCCUUCCUCCCUCGCCAAGGAAGAGCACGCGCGCUCGCAUACACACACACACACACACAAUGCAAAAUGGGGAGGCUGAGAUUGAGGGGCUCAACGGAAGUGCGUGUGCGUGCAUCGUAGGAACAGAGUGGGCUUACUUGCCUGUAUGUCUGUGCAUGUGAGCUCCCCUCCUCCUGGCCUGCAUCUACUACGUCCUCCCGCCAUCCCUGCUUCCUCCCGUGAUGGCGGUAUCUUGAAUGUGCGAGCUUUUCUGCCGCUGGGAGUGAGUAAGGAAGGGGUGGGGAUAGUUGGCCGGCGUUUUCUUCUUGGAGAAGAAGGUAGCGCAGACAUGUGAUACGGCACGUCUUAAUUUUUCCGACACUCACGCCUUCGCCGACUGUGCGGUUUGCAUAGGCACAGGCACAGACACGGGUGCAUAAAGGCGUUCGUUUUCGACGCAUCGCGAGAGGAUGAUGGAUGUGCUUGUGGGUUUGUGCCGCCAUAUUUGUGUCUUCGUCCCACUCCCCCUCACCACUUGCCCCAUUCUCGCCAUCUGGAUGUGCGUGCGUGAGUGGGGGGGAGGGAGAAGCGGCAGCAUGCUGUGUACGCGUGUAUGUUUUCGUGUCUGCGUAUGGGGUGACCGAGGUCGUACGUCAACAUCUGCAGAAAGCUAAGCUUAGCACGAAGAAAACGAAUGAUGUGCGCUGCUCGCGUGCACAUUCGGCAGCAGCACGGAGUAUGAGCAGCAACGGUACAGUGUGCAUGUGUGUGUGUGGACUCAUGAUGGACACAACAAGACACGCCCAUGCACGCGGUGAAGGAGCACGAGAAGCGGCGAGGAAGGGCAGACGGGGAAGGAGGCGAAAACUAUCUUGCCUCUUUCGUUCUGAGUUUUUUUUUUGUCGCCUCCUCUGCCGUCUGAC
rnacentral:misc_RNA from 1 species